rnacentral:rRNA from 1 species
UACGUAGGUGGCAAGCGUUGUCCGGAUUUACUGGGCGUAAAGAGCGCGCAGGCGGUCGUUUAAGUCGAAUGUGAAAGCCCCCGGCUCAACUGGGGAGGGUCAUUCGAUACUGAUCGACUCGAAGGCAGGAGAGGGAAGCGGAAUUCCCGGUGUAGUGGUGAAAUGCGUAGAUAUCGGGAGGAACACCAGUGGCGAAGGCGGCUUCCUGGCCUGUUCUUGACGCUGAGGCGCGAAAGCUAGGGGAGCAAACGGG